rnacentral:sRNA from 1 species
GGCAGAGGCUGCAGUCCGUCUUCCCUUCAAAAACUUGGAAUGAUUUCAAAUCAUAGGCACCUUCACUUAACCCUAGCUUCCAUUCAUCAGCAAACACAUCGGAUCGAUGCUACGCUAACCUAUCGGGUUCUCUCUCCGCGCGUUCAGGCUUGAAGAUGCAGUGGACGCCAGAGCAUGCCCAGUGGCCAGAACAGCACUUUGACAUCACCUCAACCACUCGGUCUCCUGCCCACAAAGUUGAAGCCUACAGAGGUCAUCUGCAGCGCACCUAUCAGUACGCCUGGGCGAAUGAUGACAUAUCUGCUCUGACUGCAUCCAACCUACUAAAAAAAUAUGCAGAGAAGUAUUCCGGCAUUUUGGAAGGUCCUGUGGACCGACCCGUACUCAGCAACUAUUCGGACACACCAUCAGGACUAGUGAACGGUCGGAAAAAUGAAAGUGAACCCUGGCAGCCUUCCUUGAAUUCAGAAGCUGUUUAUCCCAUGAACUGUGUUCCGGAUGUUAUCACUGCCAGCAAAGCUGGAGUCAGUUCAGCCCUCCCUCCAGCAGAUGUCUCUGCGAGUAUAGGGAGCUCUCCUGGGGUAGCCAGCAACCUGACGG